rnacentral:rRNA from 1 species
UGUGCCAGCAGCCGCGGUAAUACGGAGGGUGCAAGCGUUAAUCGGAAUUACUGGGCGUAAAGCGCGCGUAGGUGGCUUGAUAAGCCGGUUGUGAAAGCCCCGGGCUCAACCUGGGAACGGCAUCCGGAACUGUCAGGCUAGAGUGCAGGAGAGGAAGGUGGAAUUCCCGGUGUAGCGGUGAAAUGCGUAGAGAUCGGGAGGAAUACCAGUGGCGAAGGCGGCCUUCUGGACUGACACUGACACUGAGGUGCGAAAGCGUGGGUAGCAAACAGGAUUAGAUACCCUGGUAGUCCACGCCGUAAACGAUGUCGACCAGCCGUUGGGUGCCUUGUGCACUUUGUGGCGAAGUUAACGCGAUAAGUCGACCGCCUGGGGAGUACGGCCGCAAGGUUAAAACUCAAAUGAAUUGACGGG